rnacentral:rRNA from 1 species
ACGAGUGGCGGACGGGUGAGUAAUGUCUGGGAAACUGCCUGAUGGAGGGGGAUAACUACUGGAAACGGUAGCUAAUACCGCAUAACGUCGCAAGACCAAAGAGGGGGACCUUCGGGCCUCUUGCCAUCGGAUGUGCCCAGAUGGGAUUAGCUAGUAGGUGGGGUAAAGGCUCACCUAGGCGACGAUCCCUAGCUGGUCUGAGAGGAUGACCAGCCACACUGGAACUGAGACACGGUCCAGACUCCUACGGGAGGCAGCAGUGGGGAAUAUUGCACAAUGGGCGCAAGCCUGAUGCAGCCAUGCCGCGUGUAUGAAGAAGGCCUUCGGGUUGUAAAGUACUUUCAGCGGGGAGGAAGGGAGUAAAGUUAAUACCUUUGCUCAUUGACGUUACCCGCAGAAGAAGCACCGGCUAACUCCGUGCCAGCAGCCGCGGUAAUACGGAGGGUGCAAGCGUUAAUCGGAAUUACUGGGCGUAAAGCGCACGCAGGCGGUUUGUUAAGUCAGAUGUGAAAUCCCCGGGCUCAACCUGGGAACUGCAUCUGAUACUGGCAAGCUUGAGUCUCGUAGAGGGGGGUAGAAUUCCAGGUGUAGCGGUGAAAUGCGUAGAGAUCUGGAGGAAUACCGGUGGCGAAGGCGGCCCCCUGGACGAAGACUGACGCUCAGGUGCGAAAGCGUGGGGAGCAAACA